UAUUCAAUAAAGGAAUUCAAAGAAGUUGAGAAGGUUCAGCUGCAUUCCAGAUUCCCACAAAUUUCUAAUUCAAGGCACUUUAUAACUCCAAACGAGUGGCUGAAACUGCCUACAAGAUACAUAGAAAGUGAAUUUUGUAGAAGGAGAAGAAACAAAGGGUCAUCCUUUCUAGAAAGAGAACCGCUGUGCUAUCAGGAGGGAAAUAAUCCAAGUGCCAAAGAGGCCAUCUCUGAAGGGUAUUUUUCUUCCUUGAGCCUCAGCCAGGAACGGGAGGAAGACCAGGAUGGGUCCUCUCUGUGCAGAUGUGAUCAUCCCUCCAACUCCUAGUACCAGCCCCUGUCUGCUCUGAGGCUCUGCUGUCAGUCCCCUACGUGAUCUCCAAGGAUCCUCAGGUCCCAGAUGGGAGCCCUCCACGGUCUCCCUCCCCGCGUUUGGGGCUGCUGAAGCUGGAGCUAUAAGAAAGAAGAGGGAGGUUUCAGCAACCAAGGAGCACACACCCUGAUCCUUGAUUGGUGAAAGGAUACACAAAAUCAGGCUGCUUCAGAGGAAGUCAUCUGCUCACAGGAAUCAGGGUGAAGGCCAAGGACGGCACUCAAGAAUUGUCCUGUCUCUAAAAAAAAAGCAUCUGCAACGAACUUCCUUUAAUUUUUGAGUUCAGUGUCUGUGAUAAUUAAGAAAUGGCAAUACCAUGUAUUUUCCCCAGAAGUUAAGAAAUAUUGCUGAACGAACCAAUAAAAAUAAUUACAGCUCCCUCACU
rnacentral:lncRNA from 10 species